UACAGAGGGUGCGAGCGUUAAUCGGAAUUACUGGGCGUAAAGCGUGCGUAGACGGUUAUUUAAGUCGGGUGUGAAAGCCCCGGGCUCAACCUGGGAAUUGCAUUCGAGACUGCAUGGCUAGGAUGCGGAAGAGGGAAGCGGAAUUCCGGUGUAGCGGUGAAAUGCGUAGAUAUCGGAAGGAACACCAGUGGCGAAAGCGGCUUCCUGGUCCAGCAUCGACGUU
rnacentral:rRNA from 1 species